rnacentral:sRNA from 1 species
CCGGGAACCCACGCGGGCCACUACAAGCCCGCCCUUUCCUACGUCUGGUCCAGUCGGUCUUCCUCCGGCCCGGGCCCUGGCCCAGCUAGCCGGCCAUGGAAGUGAAGAAAAUAUUUGGAAGCUCUGUGAAUACAUCAGAAACCAUGACCAGUAUCCUUUAGAAGAAUGCUAUGCUGUCUUCAUAUCUAAUGAGAGGAAGAUGAUACCUAUCUGGAAACAACAGGCGAGACCUGGAGAUGGACCUGUGAUCUGGGAUUACCAUGUUGUUUUGCUUCAUGUUUCAAGUGGAGGACAGAGCUUCAUUUAUGAUCUCGAUACUGUCUUGCCAUUUCCCUGCCUCUUUGACACUUAUGUAGAAGAUGCCUUUAAGUCUGAUGAUGACAUUCACCCACAGUUUAGGAGGAAAUUUAGAGUGAUCCGUGCAGAUUCAUAUUUGAAGAACUUUGCUUCUGACCGAUCUCACAUGAAAGACUCCAGUGGGAAUUGGAGAGAGCCUCCGCCGCCAUAUCCCUGCAUUGAGACUGGAGAUUCCAAAAUGAACCUGAACGAUUUCGUCAGUAUGGAUCCCAAGGUAGGAUGGGGCGCUGUCUACACACUAUCCGAAUUUACACAUCGUUUUGGCAGUAAAAACUGCUAAACUUGGCCUCAAGAUGUGGAACUGUGGAGAAAUUCUAGGACAUGAACAAGCUAUCCUUUCAUCGAGGACAGCAAACAUUAUGAUGAAAUGGUGAUGACUGGAGUGACCUCGGAAGCUACGUAUCAAA